CCAACUUCGUUACAGUAGCAAUUAUGUUCGGCAUGGUGGGCUGGGGAAGCUGAGACUGUUUGUGCUUAUGACGAUGGGCUUGUCCUGUCUGCGGUAAAUGGCCAAACGGAUAAGACUCUGCUGAAAAUGGUGUAGGACUUCUUAACCACCAACUGUUUGGUCCUCUUCCAGAAGAUUUAGGAGCAACGUAGGGCAAAACGCUGAUUUGCUGCAGAACUGGGAAGCUCCGCUCCAUUCAGACAUUCAGGAGAGCGGGAGGGAAGAUAAACUGACCCCUGACCUUUCA
rnacentral:lncRNA from 1 species